CCUACGGGAGGCAGCAGUGAGGAAUAUUGGUCAAUGGGCGCGAGCCUGAACCAGCCAAGUCGCGUGAGGGAAGACGGUCCUAUGGAUUGUAAACCUCUUUUGCCGGGGAGCAAAAAGCGGUACGUGUACCGCAUCGAGAGUACCCGGAGAAACAGCAUCGGCUAACUCCGUGCCAGCAGCCGCGGUAAUACGUAGGGGGCAAGCGUUAUCCGGAUUUACUGGGGGUAAAGGGAGCGUAGACGGCAGCGCAAGUCUGGAGUGAAAUCCCAUGGCUUAACCAUGGAACUGCUUUGGAAACUGUGCAGCUAGAGUGCAGGAGAGGUAAGCGGAAUGCCUAGUGUAGCGGUGAAAUGCGUAGAUAUUAGGAGGAACACCAGUGGCGAAGGCAGCUUACUGGACUGUAACUGACGUUGAGGCUCGAAAGCGUGGGGAGCAAACAGGAUUAGAUACCCUUGUAGUC
rnacentral:rRNA from 1 species